rnacentral:rRNA from 1 species
CGAACGCUGGCGGCGUGCUUAACACAUGCACGUCGAACGAGAGCGUAGAGAAAGCUUGCUUUUUCUACAAUCUAGUGGCAAACGGGUGAGUAACGCGUAAACAACCUGCCCUACGGAUGGGGACAACAGCUGGAAACGGCUGCUAAUACCGAAUACGUUCCGAAAGUCGCAUGACUAUCGGAAGAAAGGAUGGCCUCUAUUUAUAAGCUAUCGCCGGAGGAGGGGUUUGCGUCGGAUUAGCUAGUUGUAGGGGUAACGGCCCACCAAGGCGGAGAUCAGUAGCCGGGCUGGAGGGAUGGACGGCCACAUUUGAACUGAGACAAGGGCCAGCCUCCUACGGGAGGCAGCAGUGGGGAAUCUUCCGCAAUGGGUGGAAGCCUUACGGAGCAACGCCGCGUGAGUGUAGACGGCCUUCGGGUUGUAAAGCUCUGUUAUACGGGACGAAUAAUCUUGUGGUUAAUACCCAUGAGAAGUGACGGUACCGUAAGAGAAAGCCACGGCUAACUACGUG